rnacentral:rRNA from 1 species
GUGCCAGCAGCCGCGGUAAUACGUAGGGGGCAAGCGUUGUCCGGAAUCAUUGGGCGUAAAGCGCGUGUAGGCGGCCAUCCAAGUCCGAUGUGAAAGCUCGGGGCUCAACCCCGAGUCUGCAUUGGAAACUGUAUGGCUUGAGUCCGGAAGAGGAGACUGGAAUUCCUGGUGUAGCGGUGAAAUGCGCAGAUAUCAGGAAGAACACCGGUGGCGAAGGCGGGUCUCUGGGACGGUACUGACGCUGAGACGCGAAAGCGUGGGGAGCAAACAGGAUUAGAAACCCCCGUAGUCC